UGAACGCUGGCGGCAUGCCUAACACAUGCAAGUCGAACGGUAACGACGGGAGCUUGCUCCCGGGCGACGAGUGGCGGACGGGUGAGUAACACUUGGGAAUCUGCCCAGUAGUGGGGGACAACAUUCGGAAACGGAUGCUAAUACCGCAUACGCACUACGGUGGAAAGUGGGGGAUCUUCGGACCUCACGCUAUUGGAUGAGCCCAAGUCGGAUUAGCUUGUUGGUGAGGUAAUGGCUCACCAAGGCGACGAUCCGUAGCUGGUCUGAGAGGACGAUCAGCCACACUGGGACUGAGACACGGCCCAGACUCCUACGGGAGGCAGCAGUGGGGAAUAUUGGACAAUGGGCGCAAGCCUGAUCCAGCAAUGCCGCGUGUGUGAAGAAGGCCUGCGGGUUGUAAAGCACUUUCAGUAGAGAAGAAAAGCCUAGGGUUAAUACCCCUGAGUCUUGACGUAACCUACAGAAGAAGCACCGGCUAACUCCGUGCCAGCAGCCGCGGUAAU
rnacentral:rRNA from 1 species